rnacentral:rRNA from 1 species
GCCCAGACUCCUACGGGAGGCAGCAGUGGGGGAUAUUGCGCAAUGGGGGAAACCCUGAUGCAGCGACGCCGCGUGGGUGAAGAAGCGCCUCGGCGCGUAAAGCCCUGUCAGCAGGGAAGAAAAUGACGGUACCUGAAGAAGAAGCCCCGGCUAACUACGUGCCAGCAGCCGCGGUAAUACGUAGGGGGCAAGCGUUAUCCGGAUUUACUGGGUGUAAAGGGAGCGUAGACGGCCAGACAAGUCAGAAGUGAAAGCCCAGGGCUCAACCCUGGGACUGCUUUUGAAACUGCCGGGCUGGAGUGCAGGAGAGGUAAGCGGAAUUCCUAGUGUAGCGGUGAAAUGCGUAGAUAUACGGAGGAACACCAGUGGCGAAGGCGGAUUGCUGGACAGUAACUGACGCUGAGGCGCGAAAGCGUGGGGAGCAAACAGGAUUAGAUACCCUUGUAC